AUUGAACGCUGGCGGCAGGCCUAACACAUGCAAGUCGAACGAGUGGCGGACGGGUGAGUACUGUCUGGGAAACUGCCUGAUGGAGGGGGAUAACUACUGGAAACGGUAGCUAAUACCGCAUACCAUACGCUGUGCACAGAUGGGAUUAGCUAGUAGGUGGGGUAAAGGCUCAACUAGGCGACGAUCCCUAGCAGGUCUGAGAGGAUGAACAGCCACACUGGAACUGAGACACGGUCCAGAUUCCUACGGGAGGCAGCAGUGGGGAAUAUUGCACAAUGGGCGCAAGCCUGAUGCAGCCAUGCCGCGUGGUUGAAGAAGGCCGUCGGGUUGUAAAGCACUUUCAGCGGUGAGGCGUUACCCGCAGAAGAAGCACCGGCUAACUCCGUGCCAGCAGCCGCGGUAAUAC
rnacentral:rRNA from 1 species